AAACGUUCAAGUGUACAUGUACUCGGGCGUUUGAAGGGAAAACCUGCCUAUCAGAGAAGCCUACUCAGACACUUUCCGCUACAAUGAAAUUGGAUCAAGAGUAUGACAAUGCCUAUAGUGACAUCAACUCAGCAAAAUCUCGUGCCCUCAAGACUGAUUUAAACCUUGUAUUGAUACCUUUUUUCCAAGCGAAAUUUCCAGAUUUCAUAGGUAUCAAAUACAAGCGUUUUUUCAAUGGAAGUGUUGGGGUUGAAUAUGAACUGAUAUUUCCAACAACUUCAAAUGUAACCGCUAACAACAUCGUUCAGGCUCUUAAGGAUGCUAAUGGAAAAAAAGAACUGGGAUUCUUGAGUCUGACGGGAGAUAUAACCGUAACGAAGCAGGUUGUUCAGACUACAGUAAAACCAACUGGAACCCCAGG